CACGUAGGGGGCGAGCGUUGUCCGGAUUUAUUGGGCGUAAAGAGCUCGUAGGCGGCUUGUUGCGUCGACCGUGAAAACCCGGGGCUCAACUUCGGGCUUGCGGUCGAUACGGGCGGGCUAGAGUUCGGUAGGGGAGACUGGAAUUCCUGGUGUAGCGGUGAAAUGCGCAGAUAUCAGGAGGAACACCGGUGGCGAAGGCGGGUCUCUGGGCCGAUACUGACGCUGAGGAGCGAAAGCGUGGGGAGCGAACAGG
rnacentral:rRNA from 1 species